GGGGCUUAACCCCGGAUCUGCGGUGGGAACGGGGAGACUAGAGAGCAAGGGGGGAGACAGGAAUUCCUGGUGUAGCGGUGGAAUGCGCAGAUAUCAGGAGGAACACCGAUGGCGAAGGCAGGUCUCUGGGCUGUAACUGACGCUGAGGAGCGAAAGCAUGGGGAGCGAACAGGAUUAGAUACCCUGGUAGUCCAUGCCGUAAACGUUGGGCACUAGGUGUGGGGACCAUUCCACGGUUUCCGCGCCGCAGCUAACGCAUUAAGUGCCCCGCCUGGGGAGUACGGCCGCAAGGCUAAAACUCAAAGGAAUUGACGGGGGCCCGCACAAGCGGCGGAGCAUGCGGAUUAAUUCGAUGCAACGCGAAGAACCUUACCAAGGCUUGACAUGUUCCCGAUCGCCGUAGAGAUACGGUUUCCCCUUUGGGGCGGGUUCACAGGUGGUGCAUGGUUGUCGUCAGCUCGUGUCGUGAGAUGUUGGGUUAAGUCCCGCAACGAGCGCAACCCUCGUUCCAUGUUGCCAGCACGUAAUGGUGGGGACUCAUGGGAGACUGCCGGGGUCAACUCGGAGGAAGGUGAGGACGACGUCAAAUCAUCAUGCCCCUUAUGUCUUGGGCUUCACGCAUGCUACAAUGGCCGGUACAAUGGGUUGCGAUACUGUGAGGUGGAGCUAAUCCCAAAAAGCCGGUCUCAGUUCGGAUUGGGGUCUGCAACUCGACCCCAUGAAGUCGGAGUCGCUAGUAAUCGCAGAUCAGCAACGCUGCGGUGAAUACGUUCCCGGGCCUUGUACACACCGCCCGUCAAGUCACGAAAGUUGGUAACACCCGAAGCCGGUGGCCUAACCCUUGUGGGGGGAGCCGUC
rnacentral:rRNA from 1 species